AUGGGCACCAGGUUUCUCUGCUGUGUGGCCCUGUGUCUCCUGGGAGCAGGCCCAGGGGACGCCGCCGUCUCGCAGAGCCCCAGGUACGUGGUCACAGCGAGAAGACAGAGCGUGACCCUGACAUGUUGCUAUGAGAAUGGACACCGGACUGUGUACUGGUACAAGCAGACCCCGGGCCAGGGCCCCCAGUUCCUGGUUCGCUAUUACAAUGGAGAAGAGCAAGAAAAAGGAGACACCCACGUCAGAUUCAACGUUACCCAGUUCAGUAACUUCACGUCUCAGCUGACCUUGACCUCCGUGGGGCAGGAUAAC